rnacentral:lncRNA from 1 species
AAAAGAAAAAGGAAAAAAGGGGGAGAAGAGAGAAGAGGAGGCAAUCGCAGUUGGUCGAGGAUUUAAGAAAAAGCCGAAGGAGGAGGAGACGAGAAGAGGGAGGAGGAGGCAGUUGACCGACGAUUAAGGAUUGAGUGAGUUGGGGCUGUGUUGAGGACAAAGGAAACAGGAGGUAUGGUAGCUUCAAAUUUUAAUCAAUGAAAUGGAAAUUAUAAUUAAAUUUCAAUCCUGGAAAUGUAUACUCGUGUGUUAGGUGAGAGGGAUUGGGUCAUAGAGAGGAUUGAGAGCUGUAAAAGAGAAAUGAUUCUCCUAGGAGAGUAGAUCAAAAAAUGAAAAGGGAGUGGGAAGUUUGGUAGGCAAAAGCAGGAGAGUUUUGCGUAGAAGGUCCGAACGGGAAUUGCGAAUAAAUAACUCUGUAUAGUUAUAUAUAUAUAAAUAUAUAUUUAUAUUUAUAUAUAUAUAGAGCAGAAUAUUAUCAGCGGAAGAGGGAGUCAAAGGGAUGUAGGAACUAUGCAAGAAAAUAUAUAAAUGUGUAGGGCAUACGGGACAAUCGCCAAAAAGAGGGGAAGCUUAGAGGCCGCUGAGGUUAGGCUGUGAAGGGACUUGUGAACAAGAUUGUGACAGUGGAAGCAGUCUGAGAGGGAUGAAGAAAUGAGAGAGAGAGUCAGCAGUGCGAGGGAGUGGCCUGAGAAGGACACUUGAGGAAGAGGAGAGAAAGAGAUACCAGUGAGGGGGAGUGGUCUGCUGAGGUAUUAUCGGGUGAGAUGAGAGGGAGAGAUAAAAAUGAGAAAAAGAUAGAAACAGUGAGUGAGGGCGUGAUGAAAACGUGCAUUAACAGUGUGUGUGUGCGUUGUGAGAAAAGUGUAGUGAGUAUGUGUAGGAAUUUGGUUGGUGGAACAUGUGUGUGGACAGUGAAAUGAACUAGUUUAUGUAUUUAUUUGGUUGGUGGAACAUGAGUGUGGACAGUGAAAUGAACUAGUUUAUGUAUUUAUUGAGUA